rnacentral:rRNA from 1 species
AGGGUUCGAUCUAGCUCAGGAUGAACGCUAGCUACAGGCUAACACAUGCAAGUCGAGGGGUAACAGGAGAGAAGCUUGCUUUCUUGCUGACGACCGGCGCACGGGUGAGUAACGCGUAUCCAACCUUCCCCUUAGUAGGGCAUAGCCGUAGAAAUGCGGAUUAAUACCCUAUGUUAUUCGUCGAGGACAUCUGAAGUGAAUCAAAGGUUUACCGCUAAGGGAUGGGGAUGCGUCUGAUUAGGCAGCAGGCGGGGUAACGGCCCACCUGGCCGACGAUCAGUAGGGGUUCUGAGAGGAAGGUCCCCCACAUUGGAACUGAGACACGGUCCAAACUCCUACGGGAGGCAGCAGUGAGGAAUAUUGGUCAAUGGUCGAGAGACUGAACCAGCCAAGUAGCGUGCAGGAUGACGGCCCUAUGGGUUGUAAACUGCUUUUAUGCGGGGAUAAAGUGACGUACGUGUACGUUUUUGUAGGUACCGCAUGAAUAAGGACCGGCUAAUUCCGUGCCAGCAGCCGC